rnacentral:tRNA from 1 species
GCCCCUGUAGCUCAGUCGGUAGAGCACCUGAUUUGUAAUCAGGGGGUCCGCGGUUCGAGUCCGUGCGGGGGCACCA